rnacentral:rRNA from 1 species
GGGUUCAAUCAUACUAGCACUGGAUCCUAUCAGAACUCUGAAGUUAAGGGUUCUUGGGCUAGAGUAUUCUUAGGAUGGGUGACCCCUUGGGAAAUUCUCGUGUUGCACACC